rnacentral:lncRNA from 1 species
UUAUGUCUCCUCAUCUAAACUUGAGUCUUCACUAUCACUUCAAAUAGUCAUCAUUGUCUUCUUCUUCACUUUCUUGGAGGAUUUCUUUUGUAAAGGACAGUCAAACUUGAAAUGAUCCAAUUUCUUAUACUCAAAGCAUGUGGGUGGCUCUUUGUCUUUAUCUUUCUCUCGAUCUUUGCUAGCCUCACCUUUGGAGAAGGGUC